rnacentral:rRNA from 1 species
AGAGUUUGAUCAUGGCUCAGAUUGAACGCUGGCGGCAGGCCUAACACAUGCAAGUCGAACGGUAACAGGAAGCAGCUUGCUGCUUUGCUGACGAGUGGCGGACGGGUGAGUAAUGUCUGGGAAACUGCCUGAUGGAGGGGGAUAACUACUGGAAACGGUAGCUAAUACCGCAUAACGUCGCAAGACCAAAGAGGGGGACCUUCGGGCCUCUUGCCAUCGGAUGUGCCCAGAUGGGAUUAGCUUGUUGGUGGGGUAACGGCUCACCAAGGCGACGAUCCCUAGCUGGUCUGAGAGGAUGACCAGCCACACUGGAACUGAGACACGGUCCAGACUCCUACGGGAGGCAGCAGUGGGGAAUAUUGCACAAUGGGCGCAAGCCUGAUGCAGCCAUGCCGCGUGUAUGAAGAAGGCCUUCGGGUUGUAAAGUACUUUCAGCGGGGAGGAAGGGAGUAAAGUUAAUACCUUUGCUCAUUGACGUUACCCGCAGAAGAAGCACCGGCUAACUCCGUGCCAGCAGCCGCGGUAAUACGGAGGGUGCAAGCGUUAAUCGGAAUUACUGGGCGUAAAGCGCACGCAGGCGGUUUGUUAAGUCAGAUGUGAAAUCCCCGGGCUCAACCUGGGAACUGCAUCUGAUACUGGCAAGCUUGAGUCUCGUAGAGGGGGGUAGAAUUCCAGGUGUAGCGGUGAAAUGCGUAGAGAUCUGGAGGAAUACCGGUGGCGAAGGCGGCCCCCUGGACGAAGACUGACGCUCAGGUGCGAAAGCGUGGGGAGCAAACAGGAUUAGAUACCCUGGUAGUCCACGCCGUAAACGAUGUCGACUUGGAGGUUGUGCCCUUGAGGCGUGGCUUCCGGAGCUAACGCGUUAAGUCGACCGCCUGGGGAGUACGGCCGCAAGGUUAAAACUCAAAUGAAUUGACGGGGGCCCGCACAAGCGGUGGAGCAUGUGGUUUAAUUCGAUGCAACGCGAAGAACCUUACCUGGUCUUGACAUCCACGGAACUUUCCAGAGAUGGAUUGGUGCCUUCGGGAACUGUGAGACAGGUGCUGCAUGGCUGUCGUCAGCUCGUGUUGUGAAAUGUUGGGUUAAGUCCCGCAACGAGCGCAACCCUUAUCCUUUGUUGCCAGCGGUCCGGCCGGGAACUCAAAGGAGACUGCCAGUGAUAAACUGGAGGAAGGUGGGGAUGACGUCAAGUCAUCAUGGCCCUUACGACCAGGGCUACACACGUGCUACAAUGGCGCAUACAAAGAGAAGCGACCUCGCGAGAGCAAGCGGACCUCAUAAAGUGCGUCGUAGUCCGGAUUGGAGUCUGCAACUCGACUCCAUGAAGUCGGAAUCGCUAGUAAUCGUGGAUCAGAAUGCCACGGUGAAUACGUUCCCGGGCCUUGUACACACCGCCCGUCACACCAUGGGAGUGGGUUGCAAAAGAAGUAGGUAGCUUAACCUUCGGGAGGGCGCUUACCACUUUGUGAUUCAUGACUGGGGUGAAGUCGUAACAAGGUAACCGUAGGGGAACCUGCGGUUGGAUCACCU